rnacentral:tRNA from 1 species
GAGGGUAUAGCUCAAGUGGUAGAGCACAUGCUUAGCAUGCACGAGAUCGUGGGUUCAAUCCCCAGUACCUCCA